CAGAUGAUGCAGACAGCCC
rnacentral:piRNA from 1 species